UACAGAGGCCACGAGCGUUAGGCGGAAUCACUGGGCUUAAAGCGUGUGUAGGUGGAUGGGUAAGUACCUUGUGAAAUCCCACGGCUCAACCGUGGAACUGCUUGGUAUACUGCCUGUCUUGAGGCACUCAGGGGCGAGCGGAACAAAUGGUGGAGCGGUGAAAAUGCGUAGAUAUCAUUUGGAACGCCAAUGGUGAAGACAGCUCGCUGGGGGUGUACUGACACUGAGACACGAAAGCCAGGGGAGCAAACGGG
rnacentral:rRNA from 1 species